GACGAAGGGGGCUAGCGUUGUUCGGAAUUACUGGGCGUAAAGCGCGUGUAGGCGGUUGUUCAAGUCAGGUGUGAAAGCCUUGAGCUCAACUCAAGAAAUGCACUUGAUACUGGAUGACUAGAGGACCGGAGAGGAUAGUGGAAUUCCCAGUGUAGUGGUGAAAUACGUAGAGAUUGGGAAGAACACCAGUGGCGAAGGCGGCUAUCUGGACGGUUUCUGACGCUAAGACGCGAAAGCGUGGGGA
rnacentral:rRNA from 1 species